CUAAACUUGACCAAAACUGAAAUUCUGGUCUUUCCUCCCUCAAGUGUUGCUACUCCUGUGUCUGUCUCCCUCCAAGUCAACGGCGCUACCAUCAGCUCCACCACCCAGGCUCACUGCCUAGGUGUUCUCUUUGACUCCGACCUCUCCUUCAAGCCUCAUGUUCAAUCUAUCGCCAAAUCCUGUCAUUUCCAUCUAAAAAACAUUGCUCGCAUCCGCCCCUACUUAACGCCAGAUGCGACUAAGGUGUUGGUCCAUUCCACUGUCCUUUCUUGCCUUGACUACUGUAAUCCGCUUCUCAGUGGUCUUACGUGCU
rnacentral:lncRNA from 1 species